rnacentral:rRNA from 1 species
UACGGGGGGGGCAAGCGUUGUUCGGAAUUACUGGGCGUAAAGGGCUCGUAGGCGGCCAACUAAGUCAUACGUGAAAUCCCUCGGCUUAACCGGGGAACUGCGUCUGAUACUGGUUGGCUUGAGUUUGGGAGAGGGAUGCGGAAUUCCAGGUGUAGCGGUGAAAUGCGUAGAUAUCUGGAGGAACACCGGUGGCGAAGGCGGCAUCCUGGACCAAUACUGACACUGAGGAGCGAAAGCCAGGGGAGCAAACGGG